UCCAAUGCUGCUAUUUGUGGUGGCAUUUUUCAGUGUGUUAAUCUAACAUAUGAAAUUCAAAUAGCAUAGAAUUUCAGAUACAUCACAUGGCACUGUUUCUGUUUCCUGUUGGGUAAGGGUAUGAGUGCUCUGCAGCCAGGAUUUGUAAGUAAUUCAAAAUUCAUCUUCCUUGCUUAGUCAGGCAUGUAACUUUGAAGUUUACCAAUUAGCCUCCUGAAAGAUAAAUGCAGUAAAUCAUGUGCUGUGAUAGGUGAACUUGUGUUCAAAUAAUUCAUGGAAGCAUAAUAAUUUAUAGAACUUUCUUGACAUUAUUUAUCUAAGUAUAGUUCAAUACGUUUUGAUGCAUGUAUUUUCCAGACAAACAUUCCUCUCAGUUACAUCUCACUGUAGAAAGGCAAAGUUGGAGAACUCAGCAAAAUUUCAGGAGUGAAAUCUUGAGGACCUCAUCUGUUGUGAUAGGUGUACACGCAUGAGAAAAAAAAGUGGUCUUUACCCCAGCUGCCCUGCAGCCAGAGCCUACAGUAGAAGAGUUUGUAACAACCUAGGACAUGUCCUUCUGGAAAGGGAGGGAAGCAGAUGCAUCACCAUUUUGAAGUGGCUGUCUUUAUCCCUGGAAAAGCUGGUUUUAUAACCCAUGGCUCUGAAGCCUGGAGUGGCAAAGAAAUGACCACAGAGUUUAUGAACCUUGUGCUUCUGGCACUCCAGCAAAGAUAUGUCUUAAAAGUCCGACAGGAGGAUGAACUUCUGUUCAACAGCCCAUCCUUUAAUAGAAGUAAGAUCAAAGCAAUGUCAAGCAAAUGUUGCUAA
rnacentral:lncRNA from 1 species